AUACGUAGGGUGCAAGCGUUAAUCGGAAUUACUGGGCGUAAAGCGUGCGCAGGCGGUUUUGUAAGACAGUGGUGAAAUCCCCGGGCUCAACCUGGGAACUGCCAUUGUGACUGCAAGGCUGGAGUGCGGCAGAGGGGGAUGGAAUUCCGCGUGUAGCAGUGAAAUGGGUAGAUAUGCGGAGGAACACCGAUGGCGAAGGCAAUCCCCUGGGCCUGCACUGACGCUCAUGCACGAAAGCGUGGGGAGCAAACAGGAUUAGAUACCCUGGUAGUCCACGCCCUAAACGAUGUCAACUGGUUGUUGGGGAUUUAUUUUCUCAGUAACGAAGCUAACGCGUGAAGUUGACCGCCUGGGGAGUACGGCCGCAAGGUUAAAACUCAAAUGAAUUGACGGGG
rnacentral:rRNA from 1 species